UGAGCUCGAUGAGUAGGGCGGGACACGUGGUAUCCUGUCUGAAUAUGGGGGGACCAUCCUCCAAGGCUAAAUACUCCUGACUGACCGAUAGUGAACCAGUACCGUGAGGGAAAGGCGAAAAGAACCCCGGCGAGGGGAGUGAAAAAGAACCUGAAACCGUGUACGUACAAGCAGUGGGAGCCUCUUAAUGGGGUGACUGCGUACCUUUUGUAUAAUGGGUCAGCGACUUAUAUUCUGUAGCAAGGUUAACCGAAUAGGGGAGCCGAAGGGAAACCGAGUCUUAACUGGGCGUUAAGUUGCAGGGUAUAGACCCGAAACCCGGUGAUCUAGCCAUGGGCAGGUUGAAGGUUGGGUAACACUAACUGGAGGACCGAACCGACUAAUGUUGAAAAAUUAGCGGAUGACUUGUGGCUGGGGGUGAAAGGCCAAUCAAACCGGGAGAUAGCUGGUUCUCCCCGAAAGCUAUUUAGGUAGCGCCUCGUGAAUUCAUCUCCGGGGGUAGAGCACUGUUUCGGCAAGGGGGUCAUCCCGACUUACCAACCCGAUGCAAACUGCGAAUACCGGAGAAUGUUAUCACGGGAGACACACGGCGGGUGCUAACGUCCGUCGUGAAGAGGGAAACAACCCAGACCGCCAGCUAAGGUCCCAAAGUCAUGGUUAAGUGGGAAACGAUGUGGGAAGGCCCAGACAGCCAGGAUGUUGGCUUAGAAGCAGCCAUCAUUUAAAGAAAGCGUAAUAGCUCACUGGUCGAGUCGGCCUGCGCGGAAGAUGUAACGGGGCUAAACCAUGCACCGAAGCUGCGGCAGCGACACUAUGUGUUGUUGGGUAGGGGAGCG
rnacentral:rRNA from 1 species